rnacentral:rRNA from 1 species
GACAGAGGGGGCAAGCGUUGCUCGGAAUUACUGGGCGUAAAGCGUGCGCAGGCGGCUUCGCAAGUCAGACGUGAAAUCCCCGGGCUUAACCUGGGAAUGGCGUUUGAAACUACGGAGCUGGAGUGUGGCAGAGGGAGGUAGAAUUCCACGUGUAGCGGUGAAAUGCGUAGAUAUGUGGAGGAAUACCGAUGGCGAAGGCAGCCUCCUGGGCCAACACUGACGCUCAUGCACGAAAGCGUGGGGAGCAAACAGG